UGGUGGAGCGAUUUGUCUGGUUAAUUCCGAUAACGAACGAGACCUUAACCUGCUAAAUAGUCACACGAACUUCUUGUUCGUGGCUGCACUUCUUAGAGGGACUAUGGAUGUUUAAUCCAUGGAAGUUUGAGGCAAUAACA
rnacentral:rRNA from 1 species